UAAAUCCUACUAAUGCUACCUAAUCCAUGCUUUCAUAAACAAAUUAUGCUAUGGUUGAGUAAGGUGCUACCUAGGAUUGAUAAACUAACUACCCAAGGUUCACGAACGAACUACCUAAGCUCCAUUAAGGUAAUACCUAAGGUUCAAAAAAGUAGUACCUAAGGUGCAUUAAGGUAGUACCUAAGGUUCACUAAGGUACAUUAAGGUAGUACCUUCACACCAUUAAGGUAGUACCUAAGGGUUCUAUCGACUAACCAAUUACAAUAUAAUAAUGUCAUUAUCAGCAAUUUGUUCAGGAUUAUGGAAAGAUAAGUUAGCUACAAACUAUAAUGCUUAAGUGAGACAAUUUUAACUAGACUCUUGAAGCAAAACAAACCUUUCACUUGCUAAAACACACUAAGAGAACGACACUAGUUCUUGCAAUGCCCAAUUUUGAUAAGAUUUUUGUGGUGAUAUGUGAUGUCUUUGUUAUUGGAUUAGGUGAAGCACACAUGUAACAAAGAAGACUCAUUGCCUUUGCAAGCAAAGCCUUAGUUACUACCAUAGUGAACCUUAGGUACUACCAUAGUGAACCUUAGGUACUACCUUAAUCAACCUUAGGUACUACCUUAAUCGACCUUAAGUAUUACCAUAGUUAAACUUGGGUACUACUUGUGCGAAGCUUCGAAACUUCAUUUGUGAACAUUUGUGAGACUUAGUUACUUCAUUUGUGAGCCUAAGGGUUACUAAGGUAGUACCUAAGGGUUACAAGGUAGCACCCAAGGUUCACUAAGGUGGUAUCCAAGGUUCACUAAGGUAGUACCUAAGGUUCACUAAGGUAGUACCCAAGGUUCACUAAGGUAGUACCGAAG
rnacentral:lncRNA from 1 species